AACNCGAAGAACCUUACCUGGCCUUGACAUGNUGAGAACUUUCCANAGAUGGAUUGGUGCCUUCGGGAACUCAGACACAGGUGCUGCAUGGCUGUNGUCAGCUCGUGUCGUGAGAUGUUGGGUUAAGUCCCGUAACGAGCGCAACCCUUGUCCUUAGUUACCAGCACNUUAUGGUGGGCACUCUAAGGAGACUGCCGGUGACAAACCGGAGGAAGGUGGGGAUGACGUCAAGUCAUCAUGGCCCUUACGGCCAGGGCUACACACGUGCUACAAUGGUCGGUACAAAGGGUUGCCAAGCCGCGAGGUGGAGCUAAUCCCAUAAAACCGAUCGUAGUCCGGAUCGCAGUCUGCAACUCGNCUGCGUGAAGUCGCAAUCNCUANUAAUCNUGNGGUUGUUCUCANGGCUNUA
rnacentral:rRNA from 1 species